GAAAUAUGUAGGCCUAUAUGCUGAUCUUUCUUUUUACAGGAAGCUGACAGUGGUAUCUACAAACAGACCUGGGACUUAUUUAACCACAAGGAUCGAUCGCAAAGCUUUGUAAAUAGUCCUGCCACUGGGAUAGAGAGGGUGCUGUCAAGGAAAUUCGUCUACAUAGGCCCAACGACCUACACGCAGAGCUUAGCGGCGAAGCUCGGAAGCCAUAAGUUCCACUUCGGACGAAGCUCCUUCUACCAACAGAAUAUCGUGAUUAUCUGCGUCCCUGGAGUGCCUUACAGAGAAGUCUUUAACGAACUUUUACUCAGAAUGGUAGAAGGAGGCUUGGUGGAGAAAUGGAAAGACGAUGAGAUAUUCUCUACUUCGAGGAAAGACUCGGUUAAGGAAGAGUCUUCGAAAAUAUCAGCCAUCACUCUGACCCAUCUUCAAGGCGCUUUCUUCAUCAUCGCCGUUGGCUCCCUGAUGUCUACUGUGGUCCUACUGUCAGAGAAUCUAAUGAACUACUGUGAGCACACCACCAACAAUACACCGUAGCCAACGAGAUAUGAGACUACAAGAACCGCGUAACCUUACCGUUGUAAGCAAAAGACAGUCGUUGCCUACGAACU